UGAACUGGUCCAGAUGCCUGGCUUCC
rnacentral:piRNA from 1 species